rnacentral:rRNA from 1 species
CGCGUAGGAAUCUACCUGGUAGUGGGGGACAACAUGUGGAAACGCAUGCUAAUACCGCAUACGACCUAAGGGUGAAAGUGGGGGACCUUCGGGCCUCACGCUAUCGGAUGAGCCUGCGUAAGAUUAGCUUGUUGGUGAGGUAAUGGCUCACCAAGGCGACGAUCAGUAUCUGGUUUGAGAGGACGAUCAGACACACUGGAACUGAGACACGGUCCAGACUCCUACGGGAGGCAGCAGUGGGGAAUUUCCGCAAUGGGCGAAAGCCUGACGGAGCAAUACCGCGUGAGGGAUGACGGCCUA